CUAGACGAGUAGGCUACACUUUCGUUCGAAACUUGUGUAGGAGCCCCGCCAGGCUGCUCCCGCGCCGCGCAAGGCUACCCUGUGAUCACUGGUUGGAGCAGCUCGAGCUCGCCUGAAAGAGGGAAGGCAACCGAGGUCCAUUUCAUUGAAGGCAAAACAACACAGAGCAGAACACGUUUUCAUCUCUUGCCAUAUUACCACCCUUUCCAUUUAUACUACAAGCGUCAGCGAUUCUAUCAUUUCACACAAAAUAAAGCAGAUACCAGAGAUGCGUUUAAGAUCUGUGGAUGGAAAGAGACCUGGCCUCGUGUGAUAUGAUACUAGUGAGUGUAAAUGUACUUAAUGAAGAGGUCCCUCUGUGAUGCAAUAUAAAUCUAUCAACUGGUCAAUUCUUCACUCCAUCGGUCAAUACAAAAUUACAUCUUCACAACAGUAUUCCACAUUGUACAGUUCCUGGGGAUGUGUGCCCACAGGAGGCCUGCCUGCCU
rnacentral:lncRNA from 1 species